rnacentral:rRNA from 1 species
CCUACGGGGGGCUGCAGUGGGGAAUAUUGGACAAUGGGCGAAAGCCUGAUCCAGCCAUGCCGCGUGUGUGAAGAAGGCCUUCGGGUUGUAAAGCACUUUCAGUGGGGAAGAAAGCCUUGGGGCUAAUACCCUCGAGGAAGGACAUCACCCACAGAAGAAGCACCGGCUAACUCCGUGCCAGCAGCCGCGGUAAUACGGAGGGUGCGAGCGUUAAUCGGAAUUACUGGGCGUAAAGCGCGCGUAGGCGGUCUGAUAAGCCGGUUGUGAAAGCCCCGGGCUCAACCUGGGAACGGCAUCCGGAACUGUCAGGCUAGAGUGCAGGAGAGGAAGGUAGAAUUCCCGGUGUAGCGGUGAAAUGCGUAGAGAUCGGGAGGAAUACCAGUGGCGAAGGCGGCCUUCUGGACUGACACUGACGCUGAGGUGCGAAAGCGUGGGUAGCAAACAGGAUUAGAUACCCGUGUGGUC